GACGAACGCUGGCGGCGGGCUUAACACAUGCAAGUCGAACGGAAAGGCCCUGCUUUUGUGGGGUGCUCGAGUGGCGAACGGGUGAGUAACACGUGAGUAACCUGCCCUUGACUUUGGGAUAACUUCAGGAAACUGGGGCUAAUACCGGAUAGGAGCUCCUGCUGCAUGGGGGGGGUUGGAAAGUUUAGGCGGUUGGGGGUGGACUGGCGGCUUAUCAGCUUGUGGGGGGGGUAGUGGCUUACCAAGGGUUUGACGGGUAGCCGGCGUGAGAGGGUGACCGGGCACCAUGGGACUGAGAUACGGACCAGACUCCUACGGGAGGCAGCAGUGGGGAAUAUUGCACAAUGGGCGGAAGCCUGAUGCAGAAACGCCGCGUGCGGGAUGACGGCCUUCUGGGUGUAAACCGCUUUAGCCUGUGACGAAGCGUGAGUGACGGUAAUGGGUAAAGAAGCACCGGCUAACUACGUG
rnacentral:rRNA from 1 species